rnacentral:rRNA from 1 species
UACAGAGGUCUCAAGCGUUGUUCGGAUUCAUUGGGCGUAAAGCGCACGUAGGCGGCUUCUUAAGUCAGGGGUGAAAUCCUGGAGCUCAACUCCAGAACUGCCCUUGAUACUGAGGAGCUCGAGUCCGGAAGAGGUGAGUGGAACUGCGAGUGUAGAGGUGAAAUUCGUAGAUAUUCGCAAGAACACCAGUGGCGAAGGCGGCUCACUGGUCCGGUACUGACGCUGAGGUGCGAAAGCGUGGGGAGCAAACAGG